rnacentral:rRNA from 1 species
UACGGGGGGAGCAAGCGUUGUUCGGAUUUACUGGGCGUAAAGGGCGCGUAGGCGGCCACCGCAAGUCGGUUGUGAAAUCUCCGGGCCUAACCCGGAAAGGUCAAUCGAUACUGCGGGGCUAGAGUGCAGAAGGGGCAACUGGAAUUCUCGGUGUAGCGGUGAAAUGCGUAGAUAUCGAGAGGAACACCUGCGGCGAAGGCGGGUUGCUGGGCUGACACUGACGCUGAAGCGCGAAAGCCAGGGGAGCGAACGGG